rnacentral:tRNA from 1 species
GGGAUUGUGGCUUAGCAGUAGAGUGUUUGCCUAGCAUGCAUGAAGCCCUGGGUUUGAUUCCUCAAUACCA